rnacentral:misc_RNA from 1 species
UGUGGGAGCGAGCCUGCUCGCGAUAGCGGUGGAUCAGCCAACAACAGCGCUGACUGGUAAACAGCUAUCGCGAGCAGGCUCGCUCCCACA